AGCAGCGUGGCUUAGUGGCAAGAGCACGGGCUUGGGAGCCAGAGGUCUUAGGUUCUAAUCCCAGCUCUGCCA
rnacentral:tRNA from 1 species